UACGUACUCCCUCCGUCCGAAAAAGUUUGUCCCUCAAAUAAAUGUAUCUAGCACCAAGUUAGUGCUAGAUACACCCAUUUAAGGAAUAAGCUUGGGAAAAACUUUUUCGGACGAAGGGAGUACCAU
rfam:Triticum aestivum genome assembly, contig: Triticum_aestivum_CS42_TGACv1_scaffold_527695_6DL